UUUAAAGUGUAAUGUAAGUCGCUUUGGAUAAAAGCGUCUGCUAAAUAACCUGUA
rfam:Gasterosteus aculeatus cont1.011036, whole genome shotgun sequence.